AACGAACGCUGGCGGCAUGCCUAACACAUGCAAGUCGAACGAGACCUUCGGGUCUAGUGGCGCACGGGUGCGUAACGCGUGGGAACCUGCCCUUAGGUUCUGAAUAACUCCCCGAAAUGGGUUCUAAUACCGGAUAAUGUCUUCGGACCAAAGAUUUAUCGCCUUUGGAUGGGCCCGCGUUGGAUUAGCUUGUUGGUAGGGUAAAAGCCUACCAAGGCGACGAUCCAUAGCUGGUCUGAGAGGAUGAUCAGCCACACUGGGACUGAGACACGGCCCAGACUCCUACGGGAGGCAGCAGUGGGGAAUAUUGGACAAUGGGCGAAAGGCUGAUCCAGCAAGGCCGCGUGAGUGAUGAAGGCCUUAGGGUUGUAAAGCUCUUUUAACCGGGAUGAUAAUGACAGUACCGGGAGAAUAAGCUCCGGCUAACUCCGUG
rnacentral:rRNA from 1 species